GCCUCAACUCAGGGAAGGCGACCCGCUGAACUUAAGCAUAUCAAUAAGCGGAGGAGAAGAAAGUAACAACGAUUCCCCUAGUAACGGCGAGUGAAGAGGGAAGAGCUCAAGCUGUGAAUCUGGACUUUUUGUGUCCCGAAUUGUAGUCUGAAGGUUAUGAUCAAUCCGUCACAUGUCGUCCAAGUUCCCUGGAAAGGGAUACCAGAGAGGGUGAGAGUCCCGUUCUGGCGUCAUGAGUGCGGUGUUAUCAUUUCCUGAGAGUCGGGUUGCUCGGGAUUGCAGCCUGAAUGGGAGGUAAAUUUCUCUCAAAGCUAAAUACCGGCGAGAGACCGAUAGCGAACAAGUACCGUGAGGGAAAGAUGCAAAGAACUUUGAAAAGAGAGUUAAAAGUGCCUGAAUUUGUUGGGGGGAAAGCGUUUGCGUCCAGUGUGCUCGCGUCGAUUCAGCCCUCUUGGGGGUGCAUUUUGGCGUGUGCGGUCAGGGUGGGUUUGGCCCGCGUGUUUUGGUCCCCUUGAGGUCUUCCAUGGCGACGGGGUGACCGUGACGCGGCCUGGACCGAGGCUCGCUUUUUGUCGUGUGUCGGAUGAUCGCACAUUCGUCUGCCAAGCUGCUUGUCUUCGAUGUGCGUGGCGUCUCAAGCUCGUUUUUAGCGUGACCCUGACGAAAUGGUCGCAACCGACCCGUCUAGUAACACGGACCAAGGAGUCUGACGACUGCGCGAGUCUUCGGGUGGCAACCCCGUGGGCGCAAUGAAAGUGACUUGGUGUUCAGCACCGACCGACCGUGAUCUUCUGUGAAUGGUUUGAGUACGAGCGUCGUCGUCGGGACCCGAAAGAUGGUGAACUAUGCCUGAGUAGGGUGAAGCCUGAAGAAAUUCAGGUGGAGGCUCGUAGCGAUACUGACGUGCAAAUCGUUCGUCGAACUUGGGUAUAGGGGCGAAAGACUAAUCGAACCAUCUAGUAGCUGGUUCCCUCCGAAGUUUCCCUCAGGAUAGCUGGAGCUCUUUGUUUGAUUCAGUUUUGUCAGGUAAAGCGAAUGAUUAGAGGCCUUGGGGCUGAAACAGCCUUAACCUAUUCUCAAACUUUAAAUGGGCAAGGUGCUGGGUGCUUGAUUGACCCGGCGCUAUGAAUGUGAGUUCCAAGUGGGCCAUUUUUGGUAAGCAGAACUGGCGAUGCGGGAUCAACCGAACGUCGAGAUAAGGUGCCCAAGUGUCCGCUCAUCAGACUCCCCAAAAGCUGUUGGUUCAUUUAGACAGCAGGACGGUGGCCAUGGAAGUCGGAAUCCGCUAAGGAGUGUGUAACAACUCACCUGCCGAAUGAACUAGCGCUGAAAAUGGAUGGCGCUCAAGCGGACCACCGAUCCUCGACCAGCGCAUUGAGUGCUUUGAUGCGCUGAGUAGGAGGGCGUGGGGCUCGUGAAGCAGCCGUGGGCGUGAGCCCCGGUGAAACGGGCUCUAGUGCAGAUCUUGGUGGGAGUAGCAAAUAUUCAAAUGAGAACUUUGAAGACUGAAGUGGACAAGGGUUCCAUGUGAACAGCAGUUGGACAUGGGUGAGCCGAUCCUAAGGGGUAGGGCAACUCCGCGAACUGGUCUCCUUUUGUGAGGCCUCCUACCGAAAGGGAAACGGGUUAACAUUCCCGUGCCAGAGAAAGGCGAUUGGGUGGUAACACGUCCGAGCCCGGCGACGUCGGCGAGAGCCCCGGGAAGAGUUCUCUUUUCUUCUUAACUGGCCGUUACCCUGGAAUCGGAUUGCCCGGAGCGAGGGUUCUGCGUCAGGGAAAGCCCUUCACUUCUUGGGGGGUCCGGUGCGCUUUCGACGGCCCUUGAAAAGCCGGGGUAGCGUAUGAUGUUCUUUCCUGGUCGUACCCAUAACCGCCUCAGGUGUCCCAGGUCAAGAGCCUCUAGUUUCAUAGAACAAUGUAGAUAAGGGAAGUCGGCAAGAUAGAUCCGUACGUUCGCUAAAAGGAUUGGCUCUGAGGGCUGGGUGUUUGAGCCCUUUCGCCGAAGUUUGGUGGUGCUUUGCGUCUGCUGGCAACGGCGGGGGGGGUGG
rnacentral:rRNA from 11 species